UACGAAGGGGGCUAGCGUUGCUCGGAAUCACUGGGCGUAAAGCGCACGUAGGCGGUCUCUUAAGUCGGUGGUGAAAUCCUGGAGCUCAACUCCAGAACUGCCUUCGAUACUGGGAGUCUCGAGUUCGGGAGAGGUGAGUGGAACUGCGAGUGUAGAGGUGAAAUUCGUAGAUAUUCGCAAGAACACCAGUGGCGAAGGCGGCUCACUGGCCCGAUACUGACGCUGAGGUGCGAAAGCGUGGGGAGCAAACAGG
rnacentral:rRNA from 1 species